GCCUGGUUGGCUUACUUGGUAGAGCAUGUGACUCUUGAUGUCAAGGUCAUGAGUUCAAACCCCACAUUGGGCA
rnacentral:tRNA from 1 species